CACUGCAGUAUUUGUUUGGUCGACAUACCACGUUGGUUGUAGUGAAUGCACCUUGCAGUAAGGCGGUAUUUGAGUUAUAUUUUAGAAGUGCCUAGACAAAAUCUGCUCCUUGUCGUGUGCAGUAACCAUCGCAAACCCUCCGGACUUGUGUAACGCCGUUAGUUCGCCGUGUGUUUCGUGCGAUCUACCAGUGUCGACAGUGAGUGUCUUACUACAGCGCCCGUCCGAGCUGCCUUUGUUCUGCCGAGCUGCCUGCCCGCGCUCUCGUGAAAAGUCUGGUACUGGAGCUUCGAAUCGUAGUGUAUGGAAGACUGUUGAAGGUUGUGCUUUUGUGGAGCUGGAGUUCAUCGGAAGUUCUACAGUGCUUGCGCCAGAAAAACGUCGGUGCCUCGGUACCUUUGAGACGAAGGAGCGUUGGCCAAGUCUUUUUGAAAGGCUAUGCGGAUUCUGGAGGCAUCCCUACAUCAAGCAGGAACCUGCUGCACUGCUGGAAGCUGGACAGCACGACAAUAAAGCACGUGAUCUGUGUGCUUUCUCAAAGGUAGACAUCGGCGACGGUGUAUAUGUUGAAAAGUUCCUGCUGAAGAGGCUGCGCCUGGAUGCUAACAACUCAGGCUUUCAGUUCGCGGGGGGCCUCCUUAAGGCUCCUUUUACAAAAGAAGAGGUUGAAGGGAGGCGCUACACAUGGAUGCGCAGCGAUUGUUUGUGACAUCGUCACUGCUGGCAGGCCUGGCCUGCCUUUUCGCUUCGUUCUGGGUCUUCCACGUUAUCUACUCGAAAAGGCCCACAGGGUUUUGACAUUUAUUGAGCACUGCUUUCUGGAUUUGAGCUACACAAAGCUGCAGGUGAAAGCAUUGGAUUUAGUCAAUAUUUACAAGAACUAUUGCUAGGCAAAAAAAUUUUCAGAUGCAUAUCCUCAAGAAAGUUUCUGUAAAAAUUAUUUUGCCUAACAAAAGCACUCGUGGGUUCUGUGGCUGGCAGCUUGCCCAAGCCAUGUAGCACAGUGCUUGCUUUAAAGGGACA